CGCAACCCUUGUCCUUAGUUACCAGCACGUUAUGGUGGGCACUCUAAGGAGACUGCCGGUGACAACCGGAGGAAGGUGGGGAUGACGUCAAGUCAUCAUGGCCCUUACGGCCUGGGCUACACACGUGCUACAAUGGUCGGUACAAAGGGUUGCCAAGCCGCGAGGUGGAGCUAAUCCCAUAAAACCGAUCGUAGUCCGGAUCGCAGUCUGCAACUCGACUGCGUGAAGUCGGAAUCGCUAGUAAUCGUGAAUCAGAAUGUCACGGUGAAUACGUUCCCGGGCCUU
rnacentral:rRNA from 1 species